rnacentral:piRNA from 1 species
UCAGAGCAGAAGUAUGGUGCACUGGUC